CUCCAGCCAUCAGCAGGGCACAGCUCCAGGGUUUCCUCUUCCUACAGCCCAGAGCAAAAUCCUUCCCAGAAAAGGAGUAUUUCUGUUUGGGAGACACUCACCUGAGCACAGCUCUGCCUCUUCCCAAGCUGGGCUUGUAUCCUUUGAAACACCUUCCUGGGAAAUCAGUGCUCCCCUUUUCAAGGCAGAAUCCUCACUUCCAGUGAGCGCUCUGCUUUGUGUCCCCUGCCUGCUCAGGAUCUGAGCAAUGCCUGGGCUGCUGAUGCUAAAGCCCACAAUCCAAGGCAAAAUUUACCAGGAAGAGGUGAAAUAGGAGCCGUGGUUGUCAUGACGGACUCAGCCCGUGGGUGCAGCAGGAGAGGGCUGCUGAGCCAGGGGAGAGAAUGGAGCAGAGGGAAAAGUGGGAGCAAAAAUGGCUGGGACAACACAGCAACAGCUUAAACACAGACCUGACAUCACCAAGAAUCACAAAGCAGAGCAGUAACAAUAUUAGGAGGAAGAAGUCCCAGGAGAAGGAGGAGGAAAAAGACAGUAGUUCUGUAUCCCGGGGAUCAGCAUUCCGAGCUGCAGCAGCCAGCGUUGCCUGGACUUGGAGAUGAACUUUGCAGCCAGGACAGCUCCUUUUCCCCGAGCACCAGCGGCUUCAGACUGAGCCCAGCCAAAGAGUUCCCAGAGCAGGAGUGAAGCAGGAGAAUCUGGGAAAAGCUCCUUUACAAAGUUCCCAGUAUGUGAGUGAGGGGACAACGAGGGACUGGGUUAGGACUGGGCCAGGGCAGCCACGAGUAGAGCCCAGCAGACCUGCAGCUGUGGCAACGAUCUCACACUUCACCUCAGGCUGGGCCAGCCUGACUCCCCCUUGGACCUCAGAGCUGGUUUUGUGCUUUUCCUGGCUGACUGGAAAUCCCAGGAGUCCUAGAAGAGCUCCUGGAAGAUUUGUGUCUUUGCUUUCUACAACGAAGAGCAGGAGAAAGCAGCUAAAAGGCCUUCCUACUGCACCUAUGGGAGCUCAUGGACAGACUGUCCAUUUUGAGACAGACUUGAGAGAGGUGUCCCAGAGAGAGUUUUUCUCUUGGAGGCCUGGGAGAAUUCAGGUUGCUGUAAAGAGAAAUCUCCUAAGUGCCUCUGCUGAAGGCUGCAUGAACAGUGCUAGAUGCUGGUGAUUCCACUUAGAAUUGUUUAGGCUGAAAAAGACCUUAAAGAUCACUGAGACCACCUGUAAGAAGUGAAUCCAGCAUGAAGCAGCACAGCCUGAAACACCCUCCACCCAGAGAAGAGCUUUAAUUGAACCUCUGGCUCCAUGUGUAAAGCCAGUCUGUAAGAAAACCACC
rnacentral:lncRNA from 1 species